GGGGCGGGAAUCAACAGAAGUCUAGCUAGUCGGAUCAGUCUGUGGAGUGAACAAAGUCAAAGCCCAUGUCAACAGCGGUUCGACUGAUUUUUAACCUCUUGGACAAGUCAACUUGGUUUCAAAGGGUUGGACCCUUGGGACAUGGACAUCCAGGCAGUGGGUGCCUCUGGAGGCAGGUCAUGGGCAUGAAAAGAUAGAUGGACAUUUAAGAUCCAUGGAGAGCAUCAUUGGUGCUGUUACACAAUGCAAGAAGAGAAAGCUUCAGUUUCUCAAGGACAAUGUUAAGUCGGUUCAUCAGCCAGCUUGACAUCCCAAACUCACCAUCACCCAGCAAGACUCAAGCUCUGAGCUGCACUGCAGACGAGCCAGGGGUGAGGUGCCCUAAUCUGGACUCUUCAGGCAUGGCUCCGCGCUGCAGGUUGAAUCCAGUUGUUGACUCAGGAUGGUUCCAGGUUGCAGCUCCCCGGUCCGUGUGUUUUCCAUGUGACAAGAACUUCACGGAGAAAGAGUCUGGAAAUACCACUAUGCUCAUCUCCACCUGCAACAAUCUUACUCGAUCUUCAACAAGGUCCUUCUUCAAUUCCACUUACUUUGGGAAAUCUUGGCCAUCUUUCAGGGCAUAUCCAGGAGCUGGAUAUGAAUCUGGUGAGUGGGUAGCACUGUCAGUCACUCACUGGAAUACAGUGCACUGUUGCAUUCUAAAGAGUGUGUGCAUGUUUUGUCUCAUUGAGAUUACACGCCCCUAA
rnacentral:lncRNA from 1 species